UCGAUUGACCUUUCUCCAGAAAUGAAAGUGACAGAGAAGGCAAAAAUGAGAGCCGAUGAAUUACAGCUUGUCCUAAGCUUGAAGUCCAAAUUGUCAUAUUUCUUCUGACGAACCUUCCGAGGGAGAGAAAGGGACCUUUCGGAGCGAAGGGAACCUUUUAGCCGGUGGUAAGUGUUGUGUGUAGGAGAAAAAGAGACAAACCCAGCGGCAGCCGGCUUCGCUGCUUCAGAACUGGAAACGAACGGUCUGCCUGUACCACGAGGAUCAGAAUAACCUCCCGUGGGAAUGAGCUUUUCAGCGCUGGGGAAAGAUUUCAAACCAUCCAGGAGAACCGGUGGGUAUCUGUCCCAUGCUCCAAGCAUAGCCUGGAUGCUCAGCAGAUUUCACGAUCAGGAAAUACUGGGAAUAGAUGGGACCAGGGGAGUCACAGAGGACAAUGUGCCCAUCCUGCAGGUGAAAGAAAAUUCAGAAAUUAAAGUGGAUGAAAAGUAUUCCUCAGUCAGCGAUGAGACAGACAGACAAACCUGGCUGUGCUGCGUGCGUACUGCGUGGGAAUAUUCCAGCAACAUCAAUGCUGAUGAAAUCAACACAGUUGCAGAAAUCUCAAGAGCAAAACCAUCAUGUUCUAU